rnacentral:rRNA from 1 species
GAUGAACGCUAGCGGCAGGCUUAAUACAUGCAAGUCGAGGGGCAGCACGGGUAGCAAUAUCUGGUGGCGACCGGCGCACGGGUGCGUAACACGUAUACAAUCUACCCUUAACAGGGGGAUAGCCCUCCGAAAGGAGGAUUAAUACCCCAUAAUAAAUUGAAUGGCAUCAUUUGAUUUUGAAAGUUCCGACGGUUAAGGAUGAGUAUGCGUCUGAUUAGCUAGUUGGUGAGGUAAAGGCUCGCCAAGGCAACGAUCAGUAGGGGAUCUGAGAGGACUACCCCCCACACUGGUACUGAGACACGGACCAGACUCCUACGGGAGGCAGCAGUAAGGAAUAUUGGUCAAUGGAGGCAACUCUGAACCAGCCAUGCCGCGUGCAGGAAGACGGCCCUAUGGGUUGUAAACUGCUUUUGUACGGGAGAAAACCCUUUCACGUGUGAGAGGUUGAUAGUACCGUAAGAAUAAGCAUCGGCUAACUUCGUGCCAGCAGCCGCGGUAAGACGAAGGAUGCAAGCGUUAUCCGGAUUCAUUGGGUUUAAAGGGAGCGUAGGUGGACUUGUAAGUCAGUGGUGAAAUCUCUCAGCUUAACUGAGAAACUGCCAUUGAUACUGCAGGUCUUGAGUACAGAUGAUGUGGGCGGAAUAUGACAUGUAGUGGUGAAAUACUUAGAUAUGUCAUAGAACACCGAUUGCG